rnacentral:rRNA from 1 species
AAUUUGCCUUUAGGAGGGGGAUAACAGAGUGAAAACGCUGCUAAUACCCCAUAUGCUUUCGAGUGAAAUGGAUUUAUUCGCCUAAAGAGAAGCUCGCGGCUGAUUAGCUUGUUGGUAAGGUAAUGGCUUACCAAGGCGACGAUCAGUAUCUGGUUUGAGAGGACGAUCAGACACACUGGAACUGAGACACGGUCCAGACUCCUACGGGAGGCAGCAGUGGGGAAUUUUCCGCAAUGGGCGAAAGCCUGACGGAGCAAUACCGCGUGAGGGAUGACGGCCUAUGGGUUGUAAACCUCUUUUCUCAGGGAGGAAAUCAAUGACGUUACCUGAGGAAUAAGCAUCGGCUAACUCCGUGCCAGCAGCCGCGGUAAGACGGAGGAUGCAAGUGUUAUCCGGAAUCACUGGGCGUAAAGCGUCUGUAGGUGGCUUAGCAAGUCAACUGUUAAAUCUUGAAGCUCAACUUCGAAAUCGCAGUCGAAACUGUUAGGCUAGAGUAUAGUAGGGGUAAAGGGAAUUUCCAGUGGAGCGGUGAAAUGCGUANAGAUUGGAAAGAACACCGAUGGCGAAGGCACUUUACUGGGCUAUUACUGACACUCAGAGACGAAAGCUAGGGUAGCAAAUGGGAUUAGAUACCCCAGUAGUCCUAGCCGUA